GCAUACCAGAGGAAAGACAGUCUGAUAUCAAAGUGUAUGACUAGUCUCACACAGAAAUUGACUCAGAGGUGUUUGAAGAGAUUGCAAAGGAGUCACCUGGCACCUUCUGGACCACUCUAGGCGAUGAAGGACUUGCAGCCACUGGUGAAGGGAGCCAACCCAAAAGACAGUGCCGGAUAAACUGAGGCUAAAACGUUGAUUGAAAGACUCCGAACAUCAAAACCUGGUGGUGAACGCAUCAUACAAGAGUAUGGAAAAACCAAGACUGACAGAUGCCACCAGAAG